UUGGAGGGCAAGUCUGGUGCCAGCAGCCGCGGUAAUUCCAGCUCCAAUAGCGUAUAUUAAAGUUGUUGCAGUUAAAAAGCUCGUAGUUGAAUUUCGGGAUCAAUGUUUCGGUCAUGCCGUUGGUAUGUACUGAUAUUAUUGGUUUCUCACCUUCUAAAGAACCGUAAUGCCAUUAAUUUGGUGUCACGGGGAAUUAGGACUGUUACCUUGAAAAAAUUAGAGUGUUUAAAGCAGGCUCACGCUUGAAUACAUUAGCAUGGAAUAAUGGAAUAGGACAUCCGAUUCUAUUUUGUUGGUUUCUAGGAUCGAUGUAAUGAUUAAUAGGGAUAGUUGGGGGCAUUAGUAUUCAAUUGUCAGAGGUGAAAUUCUUGGAUUUAUUGAAGACUAACUACUGCGAAAGCAUUUGCCAAGGAUGUUUUCAUUAAUCAAGAACGAAAGUUAGGGGAUCGAAGACGAUCAGAUACCGUCGUAGUCUUAACCAUAAACUAUGCCGACUAGGGAUCGGAUGAUGUUAAUUUUUUAAUGACUCAUUCGGCGCCUUACGGGAAAC
rnacentral:rRNA from 1 species